AUUUAAGUAGUUUAUUAAAAAUAUUGAUUUGUGGUGUCAGUGAAGUAGAAUUUCUACCUUAAAUC
rnacentral:tRNA from 1 species